GACGAACGCUGGCGGCGUGCUUAACACAUGCAAGUCGAACGGAAAGGCCCUGCUUUUGUGGGGUGCUCGAGUGGCGAACGGGUGAGUAACACGUGAGUAACCUGCCCUUGACUUUGGGAUAACUUCAGGAAACUGGGGCUAAUACCGGAUAGGAGCUCCUGCUGCAUGGUGGGGGUUGGAAAGUUUCGGCGGUUGGGGAUGGACUCGCGGCUUAUCAGCUUGUUGGUGGGGUAGUGGCUUACCAAGGCUUUGACGGGUAGCCGGCCUGAGAGGGUGACCGGCCACAUUGGGACUGAGAUACGGCACAGACUCCUACGGGAGGCAGCAGUGGGGAAUAUUGCAAAAUGGGCGGAAGCCUGAUGCAGCAGCGCCGCGUGCGGGAUGACGGCCUUCGGGUUGUAAACCGCUUUCGCCUGUGACGAAGCGUGAGUGACGGUAAUGGGUAAAGAAGCACCGGCUAACUACG
rnacentral:rRNA from 1 species